GGUUUUAGAUCUAGAAAAACUUCGAAAAAGAGCCGAGAGAUUCGGUCAGUCAGUGUCAGAAGCGAUGAAACAAAUUGAAGAAAGAGAAAGGAUACUUAAAAGGAAGAAAAAGUUUGGAAACAGCACUUCUGCAUCUUCUGGUGGUAAUGAAGAGG